rnacentral:rRNA from 1 species
AGCGAACGUUUGCGGCGGGCCUAACACAUGCAAGUCGAACGCACUAGCAAUAGUGAGUGGCGCACGGGUGCGUAACACGUGGGUAAUCAACCCUUCAGCUUGGGAUAACGACUUGAAAGGGUCGCUAAUACCGGAUACGGCGCGGGAGGCUUCGGCUUCUCACGAGAAAGCCUCGCAAGGGGCACUGAAGGACGAGCCUGCGGCCCAUCAGCUAGUUGGUGAGGUAAGAGCUCACCAAGGCGAAGACGGGUAGCUGGUCUGAGAGGAUGAUCAGCCACACUGGAACUGAGACACGGACCAGACUCCUACGGGAGGCAGCAGUGGGGAAUAUUGCGCAAUGGGCGAAAGCCUGACGCAGCCACGCCGCGUGAGCGAUGAAGGCCUCGGUUGUAACCGCUUUGUCAGGGAAGAAACGGUACUGGGUUAA